AAUACCUCGCAAGAGGAGUGACGGUACGGGUAUAAGAAGCCCCGGCUAACUACGUGCCAGCAGCCGCGGUGAGACGUGGGGGGCCAGCGUUGUUCGGAAUUACUGGGUGUAAAGGGUCAGUAGGCGGUGUGGCAAGUCGGGAGUGAAAUCUCUGGGCUCAACCCAGAGACUGCUUCCGAAACUGCUGUGCUAGAGUGUNNNAGAGGCGCGUGGAAUUGCAGGUGUAGCGGUGAAAUGCGUAGAUAUCUGCAGGAACAUCCGUGGCGAAAGCGGNNNGCUGGACCACAACUGACGCUGAAUGACGAAAGCUAGGGGAGCAAACAGGAUUAGAUACCCUGGUAGUCCUAGCCCUAAACGAUCAGGACUUGGGGUGCCGCACGUUCGUGCGUCGUCCCGGAGCUAACGCGUUAAGU
rnacentral:rRNA from 1 species